rnacentral:lncRNA from 1 species
GCUAGUGCAUAAUAGUAAUGGGCAUAUGACCUUGCCAGUGGAUAAUGGUAAUUAGCAUACGACCCUUUCAAAGGAUAAUAGUAGUUGGUAUAUGAUCCUAUCAAUAGAUAAUAGUAGUUGGUACAUGAUUAUAAUCUUGUUACAGGUAUAAUAGUGAUCUUAGCAUUUAGUCUGAAAGAAUUAUUAAGAAGCAUGAGAUGACAAAAGGACAAAUGAUUUAUCAU